rnacentral:lncRNA from 1 species
GGAUUGGGAUGAACCCCUCCCCAGACUGGGAUGAGCUCUCCAAACUGGGAUCAGCCCCCCCAAGCUGGGAUGAGCCCCCCAGACUGGGAUGAGCUCUCCAAACUGGGAUCAGCCCCCCUGAACUGGGAUGAGCCCCCCAGACUGGGAUGAGCUCUCCAAACUGGGAUCAGCCCCCCCAGACUGGGAUGAGUUCCCUGGACUGGAAUGAGCUCUCCAAACUGGGAUCAGCCCCCCUGAACUGGGAUGAGUUCUCUGGACUGUGAUGGGUCCCCUGGGGUGGAGCCUUUUUUCCCCCCACCCAGAAUUUUCCUGCUUUUCUCCUCCUCCUCCUGCUGCUGCUGCUGCUGAGUGCUGCCACCACCCCUGUCACUGUCCCCUGGGUGCUGUGACACCCCCAGCCUGCCCACACCUCUCAUUGACAGCGCUGGUGGCAGCUUUUUGGGACCACUUUGGGAUGGUGUCACGGACCAAAACAUCAAAGCACGUCCCUGUCCCCUUCUCCUCUGGGCUCCUGGGGGGGAUCGGGGUCGGGUUAAACUGGAACUGGGCAGGGAGGGAGGAGCAGGGACCUCCAGAGGGUCCUGGGAGGACCUGGGACAAUGGGGGUGUCCCCAUGCCAGGACCUGGGACAUUGGGGUGUCCCC